UACGUAGGGGCAAGCGUUGUCCGGAAUUACUGGGCGUAAAGGGAGCGUAGGCGGACUUUUAAGUGAGAUGUGAAAUACCCGGGCUCAACUUGGGUGCUGCAUUUCAAACUGGAAGUCUAGAGUGCAGGAGAGGAGAAUGGAAUUCCUAGUGUAGCGGUGAAAUGCGUAGAGAUUAGGAAGAACACCAGUGGCGAAGGCGAUUCUCUGGACUGUAACUGACGCUGAGGCUCGAAAGCGUGGGGAGCAAGCAGGAUUAGAUACCCCCCGUAGU
rnacentral:rRNA from 1 species